CCCCCUCCCACCUGCGGUCCCACCUGAGAGUCUCCCGGCCCCUGGCUCGUUACCGCCCGGCCACGCGGUCACCCACGCGCCGGGGCGUCCGAGCCGCUGAAUAAACCGCCGCGUAGAGUCGGCUCUCCAAGCCGCAGGGUACAGGGGUCCUCAGGGCUGCCUUUGUCGCACACCUGCGGGAUUAAUUCGCACGAGUGUCAGCACUGUCCUACAGCAGCAAUUCUCAGCGAGACUGAGCACAACAAGCCCUGGAAAGGGACUUACCCGAAUCAGGAAAUUCUGAACGACGCCUUCACCCGCUGAGGAUUUCUGCUCAGAGUUCUUUUUCUAGGAACAGCGUCCGCGUCCCGGGUGGAUGAUCUGAAGUCUGAUGCAUCGAAGAUGUUCUCUAUUCUCUUACGAAGCCUCGGCAACCUGGCGGCUUCUUCUGCUCACCCAUCCGACGUCCCCCCCCCCACCCUGCUGGCCAGGGGCGGGGUCCCCUCAGGGCUGUGCCCCUCGGCCCAGCCUCACUCUGAUACACUGACUCACGACACGCUGGGGGCCGCCUGUGUCACUCUGGGCUUUCUCUCUCCAUUAACUGGGAAUUUCUCAUUUUUUUAAAGUCACUUUGACUGAGGUGUAAUAUAUGUGCAUCAGAGUCCACCACCUUUAAUGUAUAAUUUGAUGAAUCUGGACACGUGUGUAUGCUGGUAUAAUUACCACCACAAUCAUCAUAUGGAACAUUCUCGUACUCCAGAAAUUUCCUUUACUAUGCAGUCAAAACCCUCCCAUGCCGACCAGGUCUCUGCCAGCCACUGAUGUUCUUUUUGUUACUACAGUAGAGAUGACUAUCUAGAAUAUGGUGAAAUCAUACCUAUCAUUAAUGCCUUUUCUUAACCGAGUACUACUCCAUUUUGUGGGUAUAUUACCUGCUGUCCAUUCAUUCACCAGUUCAUGAACGCUUGGAUUUUUCUGGGACUUGGCCAAAAUGAAUAAAACUGAGGUGAGUUUUGCA